UAGAGGAAGUAAAAGUCGUAACAAGGUUUCCGUAGGUGAACCUGCGGAAGGAUCAUUAAUGAACUCAAUUCAGUACCUUGGAGAACUGUUAAGGCCUAGUGCCGUUAAAGACGGUCCCGUGGUGGUGAAUUUCAUUACCAUCCCUUCUGUGCACAUAUCUCAUGUUGCUUCCGUGCGUCUGCAGUCCAUCUGUAUGGACAUGCCUGAAAAGCCUUGGUGGUUCCGAGGGCGCACGGGGACGAAAAACUGUACUCUGGUUUCUGUAUUUCAUCGUCUGAGUGGUAACCACAUUGUAACCAAUCAAAACUUUCAACAACGGAUCUCUUGGUUCUCGCAUCGAUGAAGAACGCAGCGAAAUGCGAUAAGUAGUGUGAAUUGCAGAAUUCCGUGAAUCAUCGAAUCUUUGAACGCACAUUGCGCCUCCUGGUAUUCCGGGAGGCAUGCCUGUUCGAGCGUCAUUAAAAGCACCCUCAAGCAUUAUUGCUUGGUUAUGGAGGAAGAUAGUUACUGUCCCCUCUGGAAUCUCUCAGCAGACAACUCCCAAUGAGCGUAGACGUAAUAUAAUUGUGAUAUUCGUUUAUGGACUUAUGGGUUUCCAUGCUGUGCAGAGCUCCCCCCAGCAAGUACUUGGUACUUCAAAGCUGACCUCGGAUCAGGUAGU
rnacentral:rRNA from 1 species